rnacentral:rRNA from 1 species
AGAGUUUGAUCCUGGCUCAGGAUGAACGCUGGCGGCGUGCCUAACACAUGCAAGUCGGACGGACGUUGAGAUUUCGAUCGAGACGUUAGUGGCGAACGGGUGAGUAACACAUGGAUGAUCUACCCUGAAGCGGGGGACAACAGUUCGAAAGGACUGCUAAUACCGCAUAAGCUCUGGCUAGUUAGAGAAGCGAGAGUAAAGGAGCAAUUCACUUCAGGAGGAGUCUGUGGCCCAUCAGCUAGUUGGUAGGGUAACGGCCUACCAAGGCGAAGACGGGUAGGGGGCCUGAGAGGGUGGCCCCCCACAAUGGAACUGAAACACGGUCCAUACAUCUACGGAUGGCAGCAGUGGGGAAUAUUGCCCAAUGGACGAAAGUCUGAGGCAGCAACGCCGCGUGUGCGAAGAAGGCCUUCGGGUUGUAAAGCACUUUUGACAGGGAAGAGGAAGGACAGUACCUGUAGAAUAAGCCUCGGCUAACUACGUGCCAGCAGCCGCGGUAACACGUAGGAGGCGAGCGUUAUCCGGAUUUACUGGGCGUAAAGCGCGUGCAGGCGGUUUUGCAAGUUGGAUGUGAAAGCUCCCGGCUUAACUGGGAGAGGUCGUUCAAAACUGCGAGACUAGAGUGCGAAAGAGGGAGGUAGAAUUCCGAGUGUAGUGGUGGAAUGCGUAGAUAUUCGGAGGAAUACCAGAGGCGAAGGCGGCCUCCUGGUUCGCAACUGACGCUGAGACGCGAAAGCCAGGGUAGCAAACGGGAUUAGAGACCCCGGUAGUCCUGGCUGUAAACGAUGUAGACUGGGCGUUGGCGAUGUAACAAUCGUCAGUGUCGAAGCAAACGCGAUAAGUCUACCGCCUGGGGAGUACGGCCGCAAGGCUAAAACUCAAAGGAAUUGACGGGGACCCGCACAAGCAGCGGAGCGUGUGGUUUAAUUCGAUGAUACACGAAGAACCUUACCAGGGCUUGACAUGUGAGUGGUAGAGAAGAGAAAUCGGAUCGACUCCUCGGAGAGCUCACACAGGUGUUGCAUGGCUGUCGUCAGCUCGUGCCGUGAGGUGUUCGGUUAAGUCCGCUAACGAGCGCAACCCUUGCUGUAUGUUAUAAGUGUCAUACGGGACUGCCGGUGAGAAGCCGGAGGAAGGUGAGGAUGACGUCAAGUCAGCAUGACCUUUAUGUCCUGGGCUACACACACGCUACAAUGGGCAGCACAAUAGGUAGCCAAACCGCGAGGUGGAGCGAAUCUAAAAAAGCUGUCCUCAGUUCAGAUUGCAGGCUGCAACCCGCCUGCAUGAAGAUGGAGUUGCUAGUAAACGCGCGUCAGCAAUAGUGCGUUGAAUACGUUCCCGGGUCUUGUACACACCGCCCGUCACGUCAUGGAAGUUGGCAACGCCUGAAAUCGGUAUCCUAACCGGAAGGAGGGAGCCGCUGAAGGCGGGGUCGAUAACUGGGACGAAGUCGUAACAAGGUAGGUGUACCGGAAGGUGCGCCUG